rnacentral:rRNA from 1 species
AUUGAACGCUGGCGGCAUGCCUUACACAUGCAAGUCGAACGGUAACAGGUUAAGCUGACGAGUGGCGAACGGGUGAGUAAUGUAUCGGAACGUGCCCAGUCGUGGGGGAUAACUGCUCGAAAGAGCAGCUAAUACCGCAUACGACCUGAGGGUGAAAGCGGGGGAUCGCAAGACCUCGCGCGAUUGGAGCGGCCGAUAUCAGAUUAGGUAGUUGGUGGGGUAAAGGCCUACCAAGCCUACGAUCUGUAGCUGGUCUGAGAGGACGGCCAGCCACACUGGGACUGAGACACGGCCCAGACUCCUACGGGGGGCAGCAGUGGGGAAUUUUGGACAAUGGACGCAAGUCUGAUCCAGCCAUGCCGCGUGCGGGAAGAAGGCCUUCGGGUUGUAAACCGCUUUUGUCAGGGAAGAAAAGGUUCUGGUUAAUACCUGGGACUCAUGACGGUACCUGAAGAAUAAGCACCGGCUAACUACGUGCCAGCCGCCGCCGUAAAAC